rnacentral:rRNA from 1 species
CCUACGGGAGGCAGCAGUGGGGAAUAUUGCACAAUGGGGGAAACCCUGAUGCAGCGACGCCGCGUGAGUGAAGAAGUAAUUCGUUAUGUAAAGCUCUAUCAGCAGGGAAGAAAAUGACGGUACCUGAGUAAGAAGCCCCGGCUAACUACGUGCCAGCAGCCGCGGUAAUACGUAGGGGGCAAGCGUUAUCCGGAUUUACUGGGUGGAAAGGGAGCGUAGACGGCAGUGCAAGUCUGGAGUGAAAGGCGGGGGCUCAACCCCCGGACUGCUCUGGAAACUGUACGGCUGGAGUGCAGGAGAGGUAAGUGGAAUUCCUGGUGUAGCGGUGAAAUGCGUAGAUAUUAGGAGGAACACCAGUGGCGAAGGCGGCUUACUGGACUGUAACUGACGUUGAGGCUCGAAAGCGUGGGGAGCAAACAGGAUUAGAUACCCCAGUAGUC